UUUAUUUGAUUUCCUUCGGGACUGAUUAUUUUGUGACUGAGUGGCGGACGGGUGAGUAACGCGUGGGUAACCUGCCUUGUACAGGGGGAUAACAGUUGGAAACGGCUGCUAAUACCGCAUAAGCGCACAGAGCUGCAUGGCUCGGUGUGAAAAAACUCCGGUGGUAUGGGAUGGGCCCGCGUCUGAUUAGGCAGUUGGCGGGGUAACGGCCCACCAAACCGACGAUCAGUAGCCGGCCUGAGAGGGCGACCGGCCACAUUGGGACUGAGACACGGCCCAAACUCC
rnacentral:rRNA from 1 species